rnacentral:rRNA from 1 species
AGAGUUUGAUCCUGGCUCAGGAUGAACGCUGGCGGCGUGCUUAACACAUGCAAGUCGAACGAAGCACUUUAACCUGAUUCUUCGGAUGAAGGUUUUUGUGACUGAGUGGCGGACGGGUGAGUAACGCGUGGGUAACCUGCCUCAUACAGGGGGAUAACAGUUAGAAAUGACUGCUAAUACCGCAUAAGACCACGGAGCCGCAUGGCUCAGUGGGAAAAACUCCGGUGGUAUGAGAUGGACCCGCGUCUGAUUAGGUAGUUGGUGGGGUAACGGCCUACCAAGCCAACGAUCAGUAGCCGACCUGAGAGGGUGACCGGCCACAUUGGGACUGAGACACGGCCCAAACUCCUACGGGAGGCGGCAGUGGGGAAUAUUGCACAAUGGGGGAAACCCUGAUGCAGCGACGCCGCGUGAGCGAAGAAGUAUUUCGGUAUGUAAAGCUCUAUCAGCAGGGAAGAAAAUGACGGUACCUGACUAAGAAGCACCGGCUAAAUACGUGCCAGCAGCCGCGGUAAUACGUAUGGUGCAAGCGUUAUCCGGAUUUACUGGGUGUAAAGGGAGCGUAGACGGCUGUGUAAGUCUGAAGUGAAAGCCCGGGGCUCAACCCCGGGACUGCUUUGGAAACUAUGCAGCUAGAGUGUCGGAGAGGUAAGUGGAAUUCCCAGUGUAGCGGUGAAAUGCGUAGAUAUUGGGAGGAACACCAGUGGCGAAGGCGGCUUACUGGACGAUGACUGACGUUGAGGCUCGAAAGCGUGGGGAGCAAACAGGAUUAGAUACCCUGGUAGUCCACGCCCUAAACGAUGUUAACUAGUUGUUGGGAUGUAACAAUCUCAGUAACGCAGCCAACGCGAGAAGUUAACCGCCUGGGAAGUACGGUCGCAAGACUAAAACUCAAAGGAAUUGACGGGGACCCGCACAAGCGGUGGAUGAUGUGGAUUAAUUCGAUGCAACGCGAAAAACCUUACCUACCCUUGACAUGUCAGGAAGCUCUUGUAAUGAGAGCGUGCCCGCAAGGGAGCCUGAACACAGGUGCUGCAUGGCUGUCGUCAGCUCGUGUCGUGAGAUGUUGGGUUAAGUCCCGCAACGAGCGCAACCCUUGUCACUAGUUGCUACGAAAGGGCACUCUAGUGAGACUGCCGGUGACAAACCGGAGGAAGGUGGGGAUGACGUCAAGUCCUCAUGGCCCUUAUGGGUAGGGCUUCACACGUCAUACAAUGGCGUAAACAAAGGGAAGCGAACCUGCGAGGGUGGGCAAAUCCCAAAAAUAACGUCCCAGUUCGGACUGUAGUCUGCAACCCGACUACACGAAGCUGGAAUCGCUAGUAAUCGCGGAUCAGAAUGCCGCGGUGAAUACGUUCCCGGGUCUUGUACACACCGCCCGUCA